GAUGAACGCUGGCGGCGUGCCUAACACAUGCAAGUCGAGCGAUUCUCUUCGGAGAAGAGCGGCGGACGGGUGAGUAACGCGUGGGUAACCUGCCCUGUACACACGGAUAACAUACCGAAAGGUAUGCUAAUACGAGAUAAUAUGCUUUUAUCGCAUGGUAGAAGUAUCAAAGCUCCGGCGGUACAGGAUGGACCCGCGUCUGAUUAGCUAGUUGGUAAGGUAACGGCUUACCAAGGCGACGAUCAGUAGCCGACCUGAGAGGGUGAUCGGCCACAUUGGAACUGAGACACGGUCCAAACUCCUACGGGAGGCAGCAGUGGGGAAUAUUGCAUAAUGGGCGCAAGCCUGAUGCAGCAACGCCGCGUGAGUGAAGAAGGUCUUCGGAUCGUAAACUCUGUCCUUAGGGAAGAAACAAAUGACGGUACCUAAGGAGGAAGCCCCGGCUAACUACGUGCCAGCAGCCGCAGUAA
rnacentral:rRNA from 1 species